GAUGAACGCUGGCGGCGUGCCUAAUACAUGCAAGUCGAGCGAACAGACGAGGAGCUUGCUCCUCUGACGUUAGCGGCGGACGGGUGAGUAACACGUGGAUAACCUACCUAUCAGACUGGGAUAACUUCGGGAAACCGGAGCUAAUACCGGAUAAUAUAUUGAACCGCAUGGUUCAAUAGUGAAAGACGGUUUUGCUGUCACUUAUAGAUGGCUCCGCGCCGCAUUAGCUAGUUGGUAAGGUAACGGCUUACCAAGGCAACGAUGCGUAACCGACCUGAGAGGGAGAUCGGCCACACUGGAACUGAGACACGGUCCAGACUCCGACGGGAGGCAGCAGUAGGGAAUCUUCCGCGAUGGGCGAAAGCCUGACGGAGCAACGCCGCGGGAGUGAUGAUGGUCUUCUGAUCGUAAAACUCUGUUAUUAGGGAAGAACAAAUGUGUAAGUAACUAUGCACGUCUUGACGGUACCUAAUCAGAAAGCCACGGCUAACUACGUG
rnacentral:rRNA from 1 species